GACGAACGCUGGCGGCGUGCCUAAUACAUGCAAGUAGAACGCACAGUUUAUACCGUAGCUUGCUACACCAUAGACUGUGAGUUGCGAACGGGUGAGUAACGCGUAGGUAACCUGCCUGGUAGCGGGGGAUAACUAUUGGAAACGAUAGCUAAUACCGCAUAAUAUUAAUUAUUGCAUGAUAAUUAAUUGAAAGGUGCAAUUGCACCACUACCAGAUGGACCUGCGUUGUAUUAGCUAGUAGGUGAGGUAACGGCUCACCUAGGCGACGAUACAUAGCCGACCUGAGAUGGUGAUCGGCCACACUGGGACUGAGACACGGCCCAGACUCCUACGGGAGGCAGCAGUAGGGAAGCUUCGGCAAUGGACGAAAGUCUGACCGAGCAACGCCGCGUGAGUGAAGAAGGUUUUCGGAUCGUAAAGCUCUGUUGUAAGAGAAGAACGGGUGUGAGAGUGGAAAGUUCACACUGUGACGGUAUCUUACCAGAAAGGGACGGCUAACUACGUG
rnacentral:rRNA from 1 species